rnacentral:lncRNA from 1 species
UUUCGUCCUCGGACGUGACGGUUGGUCUCUCCGAGUGCCGGAAGCGGCGAGGGCACGCUCGAGAACCUGGGUCUGGCGUGGAAGGCGCUGGCCGACCGGACGUCAGCCGUGCGGCCGCGGCGCGAGCUACGUGCGGCCCGAGGCCCGAGGCCCGAGGCCUCUCGUCGUGAAACGUGCGCGAGGCGUCGAGCUGGCCGGGCGGGGGCAGGCCGCGCGCCCCGGCGGGAGGACGGCGGUCGGCGGUGACCUACACCGUGGCUCCCGACGCGGGACGCUGGGGGGCUUUGGGUUCGCUCGAGUUCCGCUUCCUUCCGUGCGCCCGCCGCUCGUCCAGGGGACUCAGCCGCGGAGGGGAGCCCGCGACCCCUCAUCUGGGGGGACUCACUGGGGCUGGAGGAGAGCCUGCGACCCCGUCCCCGUGCUCGAGGAGUGGAGGACGCUCCGCCGCCAGGCCACCCACCAGCCGGAGCCCGGGCAGCCUCAUCACCUCUCAGACCCUCAGUCUCAUUGGCGGAGCGGGAACCAUGGACAGCCCUGCUCUCAAAGGGCCGCCCGGAAGGUUCCACCAGGGGUGUGCACAACCCUGAGAACAGUGCUCGUCCUGUGGGAAACCGUGGAGAACUUCAGACUCCUCUGGGCAGCUAGAUUGUGCUCUCCCCACUCUUACCCAGUAACUUCCCUGGAUGGGGACACCUGACGAUAACAGCCAACCCAGGGGCUGACGAGCAUCCAAGAAGACCCAAGGGUUCCCAGAGUUGCCUCAUUCCCCUUGCAGAGUCCACACGAUGAGCUGAGGCCUCAAGUCCGCAGCCAGGUGAGGGCGUCUCCUUGGACGCCCAUCCUAGCACCACACAAGCUCCGAAUGACCACAGCCCUGGCUGUCACCUUGACUGCACUCUUGUGAGAGCCCCAGAGCCAGAACUAGCCUGUCAUCUACUCCGGGACUCCUGACCCUCAGAAACUGGACGGGGUGACUGAUGGACUUUCCAAGAGCAGCUGGCCUGAAGCCCCUCGGCUGACAGUGAGCAGGAACAAGAGCCAACGCCUCCUCCGUGCUCAGGAACAAAGGGAGGAGUUCAAGGGACAGACGCCCUCUGCUCCUGUCCCCUUCCCACAACCCAGGCUAAAAGGGCAGCCCUUCCAUACCUCCUGAGGCUUCACUUUGCUCAUGGAUCUUGGCACCUAGUGUCAGUGCAGACACCAAGGACACACCCUGACUGGUGGCAGUGCAGACACCUAGGACACACCCUGACUCAAACCAGGAGUUCACUGUGAGAUUGUCUCUGAGUCAGUUAAGGGAAGCCCCGCUGAAAUGUCCUGACGUGCAGAGUUCAGAGAGUGGAGGAAGUACAAAUGAGUAAACAGAAGUUAGGAAGUACAGAAAGAACAGAGAGAGCAGGUGACAGAAAUGGCUGAAAGUGAAGCUGACAUCCUGGCAGGAGAUGAUGCCUCUGAAGUGGGGCCUGAGAGCCAAGGGAGGCCUGGGGAGCCAGUUGUCCUACAGACCAUCCCUUCUAGGGGCCAGGUCAUGGGGCAUCUGAAUCCUUAAACUAACCCCUAUUGCCAAAAGCACAGGAGCCUCCCUCUGGGCCACUGCAGAGGGGAACUGGAGCAGGGUGGGUUCAUUCAAGCUCACCUCUCACCUGAGGCCUGGAACACAGCCAGCCUUCAAAGCACACUUGUUAAAUAAAUGUUUCAAUAAAUGGAUCAAUAGUCUGUUUUCCCAAAACCUCAUUUCCCACAACAUCCUAGGAAUAACUCACAGAUAUGAAGGGCUGGCUUCCCAGUUGACAAGUUGCUCUCACAUACUUUUAUUGCAUUUUAUCUUUACAACAACCCUAUGGGAAAGCCAAAGCUGACAUUAGCCUCAUUUUGCAGAUAAUUGUUAUCCCCAUUUUGCUGAUGAGAAAGUUGAGGCUGGGAGAAGGUCAUGACUUGCUCAAGGUCAUAGGCUGAGAAGGACAGAAGCCAGGGUUCCUUCCCCAGAGGCUUGUCAUUCACCCUGCACUGUUUCCAACUGAAUGGCCGGGCAAAGAGGUUCGACCACAGUAACAAUUUUAUCUCAAACAAUAGUUAGAGGAUUGCAUCUUGUACUCUUCUCCAAAACAUGCAAGUAUGCUAGAGGCUUUGAGUCACAAACCCUCUGAGCAGAGUGAUGAGGGAACAGGGGUGAGGGCGAGGGGCCUGGUCCCUUCCUGUCAGGGUGGUGUUGCACAAGCUUCUAGAGGGUGCAAGAAACCACAGGGAAGUUUGCCUACAGUCACAGUCACGGGACCGGUCUGGGGAGAGUGAGGGCAGGACACAGCCAGCCCGAAGGCAGAAAGUGGGCGGGACAAUCUAACCAGCGACAGAAAAAAUCCUGGAGGAGGAGCUGGGGAGGACGAAAUGACUGUGAAGGAAGACUGCAGGACGACAAGGCAGUUCAGCCGUGUAGUUCGCCUGGCCCCGGCUUAGGGCUGCUCCCUCCACGAACCAUCCACAAAUAAGGACCUCACAAAGGCACCGCUGCCUGAGAGCUGAGGACCAGUAAUCAGGACACUUCGUUUAAAAAGUGUCCCCAGCCCUCUCUGGUUUCAGGGGAGGGCGGGGAGGGCUGCAGCGUCACCAGGUGACUGUUGCAGCAGCGCAUGGCGGGGGCGCGGGCCGGGAACCAGUCAGACCGGCCCUGAAACGCGGUCCUCGCUCCUUAGCCGCGACUUUGGACAGGCGAGUCUCCCUUUCCCGAGUCUGUUUCGUUGCCGGUAACGCAGUUUUUAAAGACGUUUACUUCGCAGAGUGAAUAUGACAUGAGUGUUCGGACGGAGCCGGGCACCGGGGCGCUCUCGGCAGGACUGCUCACUGUUACGGUCACUCGCCGCUGGGGAUUCGGGGAAAACAGAAAAGCACAGAAAUAAGCGUCUGUCACACGUCCACCCGGCCCGCCCUUCCAGCCCUCGGCGGCCCCUGAGCUCGGUGCCGCUCCGGCCCUCGGCCCUCCGACAGUCCGACCCCGUGCACGGACCACCGACCGCGGGCACGCGGACAGGCCUGCGGCCUCACCGCCGCCAAGACCAGGCCGGGCCGGGGUUGUGGUGCGUGGUCGGAGUCGGCGUUAGGGCCGGGUCGGGGGUCCAGGCCGGGGUCUGGCGCCCGCUCCCCUCGAGCUCCCGGCUCUGC